CCCUUAGAUGUUCUGGGCUGCACGCGCGCUACACUGAAGCUAUCAACACGUUUUCCCUCCCUGAGAAGGGCGGGUAACCUUUUGAAUCAGCUUCGUGGUAGGGAUCGGGGCUUGCAAUUGUUCCCCGUGAACCAGGAAUUCCUAGUAGACGCGAGUCAUAAGCUCGCAUCGAUUAAGUCCCUGCCCUUUGUACACACCGCCCGUCGCUACUACCGAUUGAACGUUUUAGUGAGGCAUUUGGACCGACGCAUCUCAGUUUAACCGCUGGUUUGUGUUGGAAAGACUUCCAAACUGGAGCGUUUAGAGGAAGUAAAAGUCGUAACA
rnacentral:rRNA from 1 species